CCUAUGAUAGAGGCGAACACAAAGGUGUUCCAUUAAGUUUUUUGGACAUUCGAUCCAAGCAUUCGAGGCUUCUAGUUCUGCCACCUCUAAAUUAGUAUUGAUGCAAUGCAUCUGUAUGAUCGAUAUAAGGACACUCUCAUGAUAGCUAUGGAGAGGGAUAGAAAUGAGGGUAUCUAUCCUCUAGUAUUUGUCAUUUGUGAAGACGAGAGCUAUAGUAGUUGCUUAAAAUUUUUAUGAUAUUUGCACCAUUACGUGGCACGUGACCGUAUGGAGAUCGGCAUAGUCUCAGAUCGAUAUAAAAAAAUAGUAGCUGUUGUUUUAAAUGAAUCUGUUGGAUGGAUAGUGCCAUAUAGAU
rnacentral:lncRNA from 1 species